rnacentral:lncRNA from 1 species
GAAAGCAAUCACAGAGCUACUAAGCCUUGGUGAGUAAGAAAUCAAAUUGAAAUAAAAUAAGCAACACUUUUGUAAUUAAAUCUGAAACGAUAAAUGUACGUAAACAAAAAAUAGAAUUAGAAACCAAUGCAAACAGCUAUAAGCCUUUUUUUGUAAUAGCUAAUCUGCCUUAAUUAAACCAUUGAAUGACUCAAUAUGUUCAUCUUUUUUUCCUUUUAGUAGAAUACUGCCCUUCUUCAUAUUCGAUAUACUAUUGGCUUCCUUAGUGAAUUCUUAUUCUAAUGGUUGCAUAGCUGUGUUCUCACUAAGCCUCCUUUCCCAUGUCUUUGAUUCUAUGAAACGAAACUUUCAAAACUUGGAAUCACCUAUUAAGUACAAUAAAGAAAUAAUUAAUUUUAUUUUUAUCCUUUAAUUAUUUUAUGAAUUUGGUUCCUUUAUUUUAUUUGAUAUAUUUUUUACAAAUUUGGUUUUCUCAUUAUUUUAAUUGUUUAUUUUUUGUUCAUCUCUUAACUUAAUAUCCAACAUUUCAUAAAUAUGCUGACAUAAUACUAGAUUAUUAUAUCACCUGUGGGGAUAUUCAUGUUGCACAAUUAGUGGAGGCUCAAAUUCGUGAAAAAAUAAAUAAAAUUUGGAGAGACCAUAUUCACCAAAUCAGAAUAGUAUACAGAGACAAAAAAAAAAAAAAAAAACAAAUUAUGCAACGAAUGAAAAGUUAACCAUUAUAUUUAGUAUUGAGUAAUUUGAAGUCAGUGUGAGACAUGGCAACGUAGUUAACUUACUUUAAUUAAAAAUAUGAAUAAUUAAAAUAGGAAUAUAUAACGGAUUCGGAUUCUCUCCAGCAAUGAUGAGGACGUAGGAUUAAUUUUAUGGCUGAGAGUAAAUCCAAAAAGAUACGCAAACCACGUAUCACCGCUACUGCUUGACCAAAUGGAAGCGACUUCAAACCAAAAUUAGGACAAAGAAAAUAAAAAUACAAAUGUCAAUAAACUCAAUAUACAAAGACAGAGUGUAAGUUUUACUAAAUGGAAAGCUGGAAUUGAAGUAAAAGCUUUACAUAUAUAUUGCUUGCUAAACAAUUUUGAAUUUUUUUUAUCUUGGAUUCUUGCUAAACAAUUAAUUAUAUCUAUUAAUAUUUCUCUAAUAAUAUGGGAUACACUUAUUAUUAUUAUUAUUAUUAUUAUUAUUAUUAUUAUUAUUAUUUGAUUUAAAUAUAAUUUUGAUAUUUGACUAAUAUUAAAUUUAUUUUAAACAAUCACAAAUUUCGAAUAAUUAAUGAUAAUAUUAAGUUAUUUUCAUAUUUGACUAGUAUCAAAAAGUUAUUUACACAUUUGACUUACUGUUAUUUUAUUUUAGUUCUCUAGUUUUUAAAAGUAUAAUAAGUUAGUUCUUUCAUUUCUUUUCUAUUUUCCAUUUUAAUUAAAAAAAAUUCAAUUUUUAUUUUAUUUUGUAACAAUGGGCUGAAAAUAGCUACUAAAAUUUUGGCUGUGUUUUUCUUUACCAAUCAGAAAGUAGGUCCAUAUUUGAAUAUGCCGGGAAUGAUGACCAGUCAGAAAGUAGGUCCAUAUUAGGAUACGCUGGCUAUAAUCAAGACGAGGAUGAUGUGAGCAAACACAAUAUACAAAUCUUCAACAGGUUGUUUUUCUUGGAAGAGGACCUGCGUGCUGGCAAAAUAUUCAACAUGAAGUUCGUCAACAACACAAAAGCCACAGUCCCGUUGCUACCGCGCCAAAUUUCGAAACAAAUACCGUUCUCAGAAGAUAAAAAGAAGCAAGUGUUGGCGAUGCUUGGCGUGGAAGCGAACUCAAGCAACGCCAAGAUCAUAGCGGAGACCAUUGGUCUUUGCCAAGAGCCUGCAACGGAGGGAGAAAGGAAACACUGCGCGACUUCGUUGGAGUCCAUGGUUGAUUUCGUCGUUUCCGCGCUCGGGAAGAACGUUGGUGCUUUCUCAACAGAGAAAGAAAGGGAAACUGAGUCUGGAAAGUUUGUAGUGGUGAAAAAUGGGGUGAGGAAGUUGGGAGAUGAUAAGGUUAUUGCCUGUCAUCCAAUGAGUUACCCUUAUGUUGUGUUUGGGUGUCAUCUAGUGCCAAGGAGUAGCGGGUAUUUGGUGCGCUUGAAGGGAGAAGAUGGGGUUCGAGUGAAAGCAGUUGUUGCGUGCCACAGAGACACGUCAAAGUGGGACCAUAAUCAUGGGGCAUUCAAAGUGCUCAAUCUUAAGCCUGGGAAUGGUACAGUAUGCCAUGUCUUCACUGAGGGGAAUCUUCUUUGGCUUCCAAAUUAGAUUAAUUACCAUAUACAUAUUUGUCCUUGUUCUAUCCUUAAAUAAGUGGAAUCACCUGAAGAAUUGUGCGUAAUGAGUUGUUUGUCUUUGUGGAAAUUGUUAUCUGUCUUGCAUCACCAAAUAGGUAUAUAUAAAAUAACAGGAGCGUGGUAUUUGUUGCACAAAAAUGGAUUUCAACCGAUCAAAAAAAUAUAGCCUUUACCAAUUAGAAGGGUUUGGCUUUGUUAGCAAAUAAUAAAAAUAAAAUAUCUUGAUGGAUAAAUGGUUGCUAAGUUGAUUAAGAUUGUGGCAGAAUACCAAGUCAAUGAAUAGUCCAUCACAAGCAUCAAAAGAAAAGAUAAUGAUUCCUUGAAAAUAGAAAGCACUUUGUGUUUUGAAUUCAAAAUGCACACUGGAGAGUUGUUGGAGGUUACAAGCCAGAUCUAAUAAGAGGGAACACCAUAACUUUAUAAAUUGUGCAUAAACUUCAAGAUGUAUCUCAUUUCUUAGCAUAUAAAUAAGUCUUGUACUCUAAAUUUUAGGGGACAAUUAAUUCAAAACACAAGCUUAUUUUAUCCUGUACUUAUUUUAUCAUUUUUUUUUCUUUACAGUUUCUACCAUUUAUUCAUUUGAAGCUUUCCUUUCCAGAUUAACUACGUUGCUUUCUUUUUAUAGCCUUUUAAUCAUUACCUUUCAAGCAAAAUCCUAUCCACUCCCUUUCUUCUUUGUUCACCUACCCCAAGCGCUUUCUGGAGUAGCUUGGGAACCUAUAGCCAAGGACCAGAUUCCCUUUCUUGGCACAAAUCAUCAUCAUUAUUUUGGAAUCUUGUCGAGAUAAGACUAGUCAAAACGUAUUUUGGCUUACUUUGAAUUUUUAAGCGACAAUAAAUUGGCAUGCCUGGUGGGAUCAGAUAGGUGAAAACAUUCAUAAAUUUGACAGGAGAAAUCUUGAAAGCAAGGAAUUUGGUUAAAAUGAAAACAAUUAUUGUAAGGCGGCUGAGAUAUUUAAUUACUAUCAGUUUGCUUACUUUUUUGACAACUUCUUCUACUGCUCAAUCGGUACUAAACAUGCUUGCCUAAAUCAAUAUACCAUCUAUUAUGGAAGAUGCACUAUCAUUAGACUAACCUACUGUCGUGACAAUCUCUAUGGAAAAACAACAGGUCAAUAUGAGGAUAAAUGAUCUCAUGUAUCAGUUGUCUAAAUGGUUGGUAGAUGCCAUUAAGCCUAUGGUUCAUAGUGAAUUUCAGCAAGCUAAAGAAUUUGAGAAUUAGCAUGGGAAUUUUAGAGAAAAAUCUUCUACUUCAAUAGUACAUGGGUAUACAAACUAUUUGAACUAGGGCCAUGUGAUUUUGGCAGGAACCACACAAGUAAUAGCAUGCACUCACGAAAAACCUUUACCACAAGUUCAAUCGAGUAACUUUUUUGCAAGAUUGGUACAACUUGUUUAGCCGAAUUCAGUUCGGGCACAAUUGGUUCCGCUAUAUCAAUUGAUUUUAGGCCAAUCGAAUUUGAAUAAGCUAUAUCAGUUGAAUUUGAUCACUUCAAUCGAAUUCAGACUAAGUGGAUUUGGUUCAUCUUGACUAGUUGAAUUCAAUUCAUGCAACAUUGACACUACUAGAAAAGUGUUCAACGAUGGUUGAUUGACAAGUUUAACGAUAGCUUUUAACCGUGAUCAAAGCCAAUUUUGUGAAAAACACUAUACUUUCCACGGCAGUUCCUUAACUGUCUUAGAAGGUGGAUCUUCUAAGAUGGUUUGGUGUAAAAACCGUCUUAGAAGAUCCGACCUUCUAUGACGAUUUUUACGUCAAAAUCGUCUUUGAAAGUGGGAUCUUCUAAGAUAGUUUUUAUGUCAAAAUUGUCUUAGAAGACCCUACCUUCAAAGAGGGUUUUGACAUAAAAACCAUCUCAGAAGGUAGGAUUUUUUAAGAUGGUUUUGACGUUAAAAUCGUCUUUAAAGGUGGCGUACGUCUUCUAAGACAAUACUUUUCUUGUCAAAACCAAUGUAUUUUUUUAUGGAACCUAAAAAAUUUGAACCCCUAUGAAUAGUACUUGUGUUCAAAUGAUAUAGACAUUCAAUUCACAAUAAACAAUCCAACUAAUAGCAUUUUAUGCAUACAUAUUGGAUUAGCCAUAUUGUAUUCAACUCACAAUGAUAUGUGGCCAGCACCCCAUUACAUUCUCAUAUUGUACAUUGACGUGUGUGCAAAUAAAGGGGAGAUGGUAGUCUAUUUGACUUUUAUCCAAUUGAUAUAGCAUGUUCGUGGGAAUUUGGUGUAAAGAAAGGGACAUCAAGGUAGUUGAUCAUUACAGUACAAUAUCAAUAGUUAGAUAGAACAAUUAGCUAUUUAGUUGUUGGAAGGACAAAAGUUUAGACUAAAUACGAGAGAUAGAAGGUUAUGGGCUUGGGGAUUUUUUAGCUUUGUGAAUUAUGCAGGUAGGCAACUCAGUUGUGAAAAAGGGCUCACACUUUUUAAAAAGGGAAAACCCUUGAAAGAUUUGACUCCUUUUUCUGUUCAGAUUUCAUUCAGCAAUAAUAGAUUCAUUCUUUUCCUCUCUACCUCCCAUUCUUCAAUUUUGGUUUUUAACAAUUAUAUACUUCUUUGUUCAAGUUGCAAGAUAGAAAAAGAUGUAACAAGCUGUUAGCAUUCAAAAACUUCUGAACAAAAUCAAUAGCCUCACUCGAACCAAAUACCUGACAUAUAACCAAAACACCAUGUUCAUCACAAAACAGUAAACUCAAACCAGUAAAAACGAGUAAAGCAAUCAAUGUUUAUGGAUACAAGAGAGAUACCCCCCACAAGCCAUCACAGCCAAGAAUGAUGAAAUACUCUAUAUCAAUAACUUCAAAAUUAUGUAUAUCUGGGGUUGCAACAACACCCAUUGCAAACAGAAUUAUUCCUCAAGAUUACAAACAUUUUCAAACCCAUAAAUGCUCUUUUUCAAGUCUAGUUGAUGCUAUAAUGAUAUUAUAUUUUUGAUUACUGACAAAAAUAAUGAGUAGCCUUGAAUGAGGCAAGCCUUUUUGAAUUGGCGAUCUCCAAAGGCCCUAGAAAUUUCUAGACGUGUUAAUAAUCAUCCAUCUGGGCACACAAAACCACCUACCUGUAAGUAGAAAAUAUCGUGUUAGAAAAUGAAUCACAUAUCUGUGGAGACAAGCUCACUCUUCAAUCACUGAUUCUAAACAAAAAUGAAUCACAAAGAAUGAAUAUGUCCAUAAAUUCCGAGUUCUUUAAAGCGUAAUUCCUUGUAGGGAUUCAAUCAAUCAACCUAAUUUGAUUCUAACAGUCGAUCAUCAAUCCUGACCAUAUGUUUUCUAUCCAUGUAGAGAGAAAUUACUGCAUAAAGAUGAAUGAAACCCCAUUGUGUUCCCAUACUCAAAAUCAUGAUGAAAACUAAAUGCGGAAGCAUACCUGGAUUAGCCAUAAUGGAAUAAUGAAUGGUUGAUGAGGAUCAAGAUUGGUUUUAUGAUCUUCCAAAUGUAGAGAGCUUCAUGUUCUUCUCUAAAUUUUCUCUUCUGAUGGGGAUAAAGAGAAAAAAGAAUUCAAAUUGUACAUUCUGUUACUUCUCUCUACAAAUGGGGACCAUAACCUCUUGCAUUGGUAACUUCCAUCGGUUACCCCAAAUUUGAUAAUUAUAAUUUGGCCCCUCAUCAAAUUAUAAUAUCACUAAUGGUAUCUACACAAUUAGCCUUUCAUAAAAUAUUUGCCCUUAACCAUAAUUUUGUAUUGAUUAGACCACUUUAAUAUUUUGGCUAAUAAAAUAAUGACCCUAACUCAUUCAAUUAUGCAAUAUAUAUAUAUCCUUACAAUCCUUAUAAAUGUGUUAGACUUUAUGAGCUCAAAAUUUUCCAUUACAUGCCUUGAGCAUAUUCCAAAAAUCUUAUCCAUUUAUUACAUCCGCACAUAGAACCAAAGCAGUUUUCAUUGUAUCAAUCACAACUAAAUCCAUCAAUGAUCACUAAUGCUGACAAAAUCAAAUGACAUAGACUCAUCAUGAAAUAUGUAGCAUGAAAAUUACGUGAAGAUGGCCUGUACACGUCUAUUUUCAAUUGGUCUUACUUUAACUCAAUGAGACCAUUUAAUAACCUUAACGUACAAAGUAUAAUAACUGAAUAAUAAAACAUAUAUGUAUAUAUAUAUAUAGCCAAAUAUAUCCAAAAGUCAAUGUAUGCAUACAUAAAAUCUAAUAGAGAACAUAAAAUACAUAAAAGUGACUAACACCCACUAAACCAAAGAUUCCUCGAACUGUAAAACACCCAUGUGAGCAACAUGCUCAUGAAAAACCUUGGGUGGAAGUCCCUUAGUAAGAGGAUCUGCUAUCAUUGGAGUUUGUCCCUUUGUCCACUCUGUACCCUUUCCUUAACAACUAGGAACUUGAUGUCAAUAUGCUUCGACUUGGUCGAGCUCCUAUUGUUGUUAGAAUACAAUAUAGUUGAUUUGUUGUCACAAUAUAACUUAAGUUGUCUUUCAAUUCCUUCCAUAAUUUGUAGCCCUGUAACAAAAUUUCUUAGCCAUAUUCCAUGAUUUAAUGUCUCAUAGCAUGCGACAAAUUCUGCCGCCAUAAUGGAUGAAGUAGUAAGGGUUUGCUUGGCACUACACCAAGAAACCACACCACCAGCUAACAUGAAAAUGUAAUCAGAAGUGGAUCUCAAACUAUCUAGGCAUCCUGCGGAAUCCGAGUCAAAAUACCCAAUGAUCUCCAACUGAUCUGACCUCUUGUAUGUGAGCAUAUAAUACUUUAUUCUCUUCAAAUACUUCAUAACUCUUUUGGCUGUUUUCCAAUGAUCCAUUCCUUGAUUGCUUAAAUAUCUGCCUAAUAUCCCAACUAUGUAUGCUAUAUCCAGAUGCGUACAUACUUGGGCAUACAUCAAACUCCCUACAGCUGAUGCAUAGAGAAUCUUCUGUAUUUCCUGAAUUUCCAAAUUUCCUUUUGGGCACUAUUUGAGACUGAACUUGUCUCCCUUAGCAACUAGAGUAUCCCUAAAUUUACAUUCCUGCAUGCCAAACCUUUUAAGUACAUUUUCGAUAUAGCUCCUUUAUGAUAAUCCUAGAAUACCACGAGAUCGAUCUUGGUGUAUCUGAAUUCCUAAUACAAAGGAGGUGUCACUAAGAUCUUUCAUUUCGAAGUUUCUUGAUAGAAAUCUCUUGGUUUCAUGCAACAUGCCUAUACAUUAGUGGCAAGCAAUAUGUCAUCAACAUAUAAUACCAGGAAAAUGUACUUGCUCCUACUGAAUUUGUGAUACACACAAUCAUCAACAAGAUUCAUCUCAAAACCAAAUGAGAGAAUUACUUGAUGAAAUUUAUGGUACCAUUGACGAGAUGUCUAUUUUAGCUCGUAAAUGGAUUUUGUCAGUUUGCAAAUCAUAUUCUUUGGGUCUCUUGACACAAAUUUUUCUGGUUACACCAUAUAAAUUGUCUCAUCAAUGAUGCCAUUGAGAAAUACCGUCUUGACAUCCAUUUGAUGAAGCUCUAAAUCAUAAUGUGCAACAAGAGCCAUGAUUGUCCUAAAAGAGUCUUUCGAUGAAACUAGAGAGAAAGUCUCUUUAAAGUCAAUCCCUUCCUUUUGGGUAUAACCCUUCACCACAAGACGAGCCUUAUACCUCUCCACAUUACCUGUGAAAUCCCGCUUGGUCUUAAAUAUCCAUUUGCAACCAAUGGGUUUCACACCUUUUGGUAAUGGGACAAGUUCCCAAACCUUGUUGUCUUGCAUGGACUUAUACUCCUCAUUCAUUGCUUCAAUCCACUUUUCUGAGUUGGAAUCUUGCAUGGCUUGAUGGAAGUUGACUGGGUCAUCUUCCAUCAUACCAUUAUUUUCCUCAUGUUCCUUGAGUAAUACCACAUAAUCAUCUGGAAUAUCACUUCUCCUUUCUCUUGUAGAUCUUUGCAAAGGUACUGGCUUAUGAAGCAUAAGUUCUUGAGGAUCUUAAGUUUAUUCUUCAUGAAUGACCAAAUUAUCUUGAGUGGGAGAUUCAAUAACAAUAUAUUGUAGAGGUUCCAAAUUUGCCUUAUCAAAAGCAACUAUAUGAAUCGGUUCUAGAAUUGUUACUGAUUCUUCCUCUAAGACAAAGUCUCUAACCAUAUUCUUCCCCCUAAACUAAACAUCCUCAAAGAAUGUGGUAGUUCCCGUCUCAAAAAUUGUCUUUAAUUUGGGAUCAUAAAAUUUAUAGCCACUGGAUCUUUCAGAAUAGCCAAUAAAGUAGUUGCUCAUUGUUCGGGAGUCCAAUUUCCUUUCAUUUGGCUUAAAAGGCCUUGCCUCAGCUGGACAUCCCCAUAGAUGAAAAUGUUUCAGACUAGGCUUUCGCCCAACCCAAAGCUCAUAAGGUGUUUUGGCAGCUGCCUUGGUUGACACUCUAUUUAGAAUGUAAGCUACAGUCUUUAGUGCCUCUCCCCAGAGUGACUCUAGUAAGUUAGAAUGACAAAUCACGCUUCUUACCAUAUCCUUAAGAGUUCUAUUUCGUCUUUCAGCCACACCAUUCUUGCUAGGUGACCCCAGCAUGGUAUACUGUGAGACGAUUCCACAUUCCUCUAUGUAACUUACAAAAGGCCUCAGACGUUGUUUGUAAUGACUUGCCUCGUCGCUACGAUAUCACCACUCUAAACCGCGAGAACUUCAAUUUUUAAAUGAAAACUCCAUUAAUUUGCUUAUGAAAAAUUAAAGUAAAUUUUUUCAUGAUAUACAUUCCCAAACAAUGCACCAUUACUUAAAUGAAUACAUAGAUAUAGGCAUAGUAACUCAGUACACAUCAUUCACAUAAUAGAAAGUAAAUUUGUUCAUACAUAUACCUAAAUCUGUGAUUUAUAUCCUCAAUUUAAAAAAAGAAUUAUGUAACCAACUAUGGAGGAGUUGAUUAACAAAACACAACUCUCUCCUAAAAUAAUCUACAUGGUACAAAAAUUGCGAGGGGUGAGUUUAUUAUAAAAGAAGUUAAUACAAAAAUCAAAUAAUCAUAAUUAGUUAAAAAAAAACAUUAUCAAAUACCAUAAACAUGCACAAACAUCCAUUAGUCCAACAUACACUCAACAAGUAGUCAUCAUCCGUCCAUAGUUCCAAUCAAUCAUGCUCAGUAUGAUGCAUGCACCUGACCUCAACUCUCAAAUGCAAUGUGGUACCAUCCCCAAGGAAAUAGCCUAAGCGUGUCCACACGACACUCUCACUUAGGAAAACUAGGCAAUAAGUGUCGAGGUCACCCUGUCGUGCACAUGCAACUCCCCCCCCAUGGUGAUCAACCUGAGUCUCAAGGGAGUUUCAAACUGAGUGACAUGCCCCUAAGUACAAGCAUUCCUCCUCAUGAGAAACUACAAGUAUUUACUGACAAAGUUUAUACUAUUUCCAUGUCAUAUGAAGUAUGAAACAUGGACACUACCAAUGCACAGAUCGUGGAUAAUUAAAGAUUCUAAGCCAUCCCUCUACAGAGAUGCUUAAAACUCUUUAACCACUCUUUUUCCCCUACCAGGGAUAUCCAACAAGGUCAUUACACCCUCCAUGUACAUACACAACAUACAAUGUAUGAAACAUGGGCACCAUCAAUGCACUGACCAUGGAUAAUUAAAGAUUUUGAGCCAUCCCCCUCCAGAGAUGCUUAAAACUCUUUAACCAUUUUUUCCCCUACCAGGGAUAUCCAACAAGGUCACUGCACCCCCCAUGUACACACACAACAUACAACAUAUGAAACAUGGGCACUAUCAAUGCAUUGGUCGUGGAUAAUUAAAGAUUCUAAGCCAUCCACCUCAAGAGAUGUUUAAAACUCUUUAACCAUUCUAUUUUCCCUUUCAGGGAUAUCCAACAAGGUCACUACACUCCCCAUGUACAUACACAACAUACAUCAUCACAGUGCAUUUUCAACAUCAUCAACAUUUCAUCUCAAUGUCAUUAUCAACAUCAACAUUGUCUCAUCUCAAUGACAUUAUCAACAACAACAACAUCAUCUCACAUUAACAUAAUCAUCAAUAACAACAUCAACUCAUAUUAACAUAAUCAUCAAUAACAACAUCAUCUCAUAUCAAUAUUAUCAUAAACAUCAAUGCCGCCUCAUAUCAAUUAAUGUCAUCAAUAGCAAUAUCAUCAGUAAGUCACAUUCUGCAUAUACAUACAUAUAUAGUUCAUGCCUGAGAUUCACACUCCCCAAGUCUUCAGACAACACAAGUUUAACAAAAACAAUAAUGUCAUUUAUCAAUAAUAGAUGUAUCGCAUCCCAUUUGUCAAAAACAUUGUUUUUCUUGAAAACCAGCAUGCAGCAGGGACAGGCAUACGUCCCCAUAGUUAGGUUCCCUAACCCCAACUAUGGUAUUAAAAACUGUAAAUGAUAAUAAACUCCCAUCACCUAUCGUGAGCUCUCCGUCAGUUCCUCUUUGCGUCGCUUAGAGGUCUCUCUCAUUCAUGCUCGUCAGUCCAAACGCAAGGUUCUAUGUACCAAAUUGAAGGAAAUUUAGUAUAGAUUUCAAAAAUAAGGUUAAUAACAAUAUUCGAAGUCAAAUACCUUUGUCAAAACAUAAAGGGCUGAGAGGUGUUUCAGAUUCUACUAAAAGGAGACGUCAUUUUGAAAUUCCGCUCACAGCAAUGUGACCGAGGUUCAAUGAAGGUCACGAAAAUAACAUCAAUGUUAUAAAAAGAUAACUUUUACAAUAUCUCAUUUUCAAGGGUUUUUCAAAGGAAGUGUAAAAACACCCUAUUACAAUACCCAACACGAGAGAUACUAAGAGAAACUCAAACUAACUAGGAGAAAGGCUUAGAAUUCAAGAUUACCUCAGAGAAGCUAUGAAAUAAAGGAUUGGGGGAAUUUUCUCCACCGAAUCCUUGAGGAGGAUUAUGGGGAUUCCGCUCUGAUUACAAUCAUCUUCUUGGUGUGGAGGUUCGACGACAAGCAACAGCGACUCGUGGUGGCCACCAGUGGUCGAAUGUGGUGGAGAAGAAGGUGUUAGGGUUUGGGUGGGCAUUUAGAGAGAAGUAGAGGGGCAAAAAUCAUGUUUUUCAUGUUGAAGAACGUAUUUAUAAUCUGCAGAUCUCGCUUAGCGAGCUCGUGUCACUAAGUGGGAGUCCACUUUUUGCCUUAGCGCGACAAUUCGCGUUGAUUGCAACUCCCUCUAUGCUAAUUCUCACUUAGUGUGCUAAUUCUUGCUCAGCGUAAUUCCCUCUCGAUUUGGAAUUGCGCUUAGCGCACUAAUUCUCACUCAGCGCAAUUCCCUCUCGGGUUGGAAUUGCGCUUAGUGCGCUCCUCACGCUUAGUGAGAUAUCAAAAGUUUUUAUUUUCAAAAUCCCAACGGUCAGACUGUGGAGAGUUUUCUUAGGAACCUCCAAACAAAAUUUUAAGAUCAUCCAACAGUUAACGAAUCUGGGAUCACGAUUUUACUGAAAUAGGUUUAGGUAAAAUUUGAAAUCUCAUAAUUUUAACUUAGCUCAACAAAACUCCACAUAACUCAACAUCCACAUCAAGAAAUUCACACAUGACUAAUUCAAGCCAUACCUCAACUCAUUCAAGUCAAUGAUAUAGUCAAAUAGCACGAUAAAUACAAUUAAACAUCGAUUUAUAAUUAGUAAUAUUUAAAGGUGUUACAUUGUUCACCUGAACCAUCAUAUCUGCCAUAGUAUUAACCACCAUGGUCAGAUCUGACACUCUUGAUUCUUUUGUUGAUUUGAUUUUCAACUUAAACUUUAAAUGUUUUGAACACAUCCAAAGAUUGUGACUUUUCAUGUAUAAGAAACAGGUAUGCAUAUCUGGAGUAAUCGUCUAUGAAUGAUAUAAAAUAUUGCUAACCAUUCCAUGAAGGUGUAUGAAAUGGCCCAUAAAUGUUCAUAUGUAUCAAUUCCAAGACGUCUAUUGCUCUAUAUGCACCAAAUUUCUUGCUUUUGGUUUGUUCUUAGAAAUAUGACCUAAGCAUUUAUGCCAUAAUGCUCCUGAGUUUGUAUUAUCAAUUCUACACUUAGUACCACACAAUUUUGCAUUAAAGGAUUCACCAUAGGAAGCUACAUAUCAAGUAAUAUCAUAAGUCAAGAGUGAACCAGUUCCAACAAUAUCUGAAUUAAAAGACAACCUAAAUACAUUGUUUCCAAAUGAACACUAAUAACCUAAUUUGUCCAAAUAAGAAACUAAAACCAAAUUUCGUCUAAAUGACGGUACAACAAAAGUGUCUUUCAAAUCCAAAUAAAAAAAACCAAUACAUAAUGAUAAUCUAAAAUGCUCUAUAGCUUCCACCUCUAUUGAUUUACCAUCUCCAACAUACAUAGGCAACCUUUUCUUUGCACGCCAUGCAUGAUAUUUGGUAUAUUUCUUUUUUAAAUGUGCAGGUUGACUACAAAAGAAAUAGUUGUCACCUUGAUUUUGUUUCUUUUGUGCUGGACCCUUAGUAGCUUCAUUCUUGGGCUCCUCAGUUCUUUUUCUUUUGCCCUUGUCUUUAGAGGUACUUACAACCUAAGCACUUUCAGUCUUUUUUUGCUUCAGCCUUUCCUCUUCUUGCACAUAGUAUGAAAUGAGCUCAUUAAGAGACCAUUUCUCCUUCUGACAGUUAUAAGAGAUCUUAAACUAAUUAAACUGUGAAGGUAGAGAAAUUAGCACUAAAUGGAUAAGCAAGUCUUCUAAUAGCUGAAGCUUUAGUGCCCUUAAUUUUGAAUUUUGAAGCAAUAUUUGACAUUCCCAUAAUGUAUUCCCUGACAUUUCCUUUGCCUUGAUACUUCAUGGAAAUUAAGUUCUGAAGAAGAGUACUUGUUUCCACCUUAUCGCUUUUUGCAAAGCACUUUUCAAUUUCAGCAAGGAAUUCUUUGGCACUAGUUAUAUCAUCUGAAAUAGUACCCCUAAAGACCUCAGAAAUGCCACACUUAAUGAUCAUAAGACUCAUGCGAUUUGAGUGAUCCCACUUCUCAUGAAGUUUCCUCUGUUCAGAGGUACCGAAAUCCGUAGGAGAAGGGGGUUUCUCAAUCCUUAAGCAAGGUCUAGAUCCAUGCAACCAAGAACAAUUUGUAUGUUUAUAAAUCAUGAAGAUUUUGAUGAUGUCAAGAAGAAUUAAGAAUUUGCUUGAGAAAGGGGGAGAAUGUAAAUCAUGCAAGCUUUGAUGGUGUCGAGAAGAAAUCACAUGUUUGUCAUCAUCAAAAAGGGGGAGAAUGUGAAUGUAUGUAUACAUGAUUUUGAUGAUGUCAAAAGAAGAAUCAAACAAGGCUCAUUUUGCUUCAAGAUUAAUACAAGAUUGUUUCAACAAACAAAGCCUUGAUUCAAGAUUUCUUCAAGAUCAAGCCUUGCCACAAAAUGAAAAGAUUUCAAGUCAUCCAAGGCACAUGUAAUCGAUUACCAAUACAUGUAAUCGAUUACCAAGGCACAUGAAAGUGUGUAAUCAAUUACACAUCAUAUGUAAUCGGUUACCAGAGACUCUGAAUGUUGGGAAUUCAAAUUUUAAAUGAAGAGUCACAACUGUUCAAGAAAAAUAACUGUGUAAUCGAUUACACUAAUUAUGUAAUCGAUUACCAGAGAGGAUUUUCAAGGAAUAUCGCCAACAGUCACAUCUUAUCAUUUGGAUUUUGAAUGGCCAUCAAAGGCCUAUAUAUAUGUGUGACUUGGGAUGAAAUUAUAGAGAGUUUUUUGCUUGGCAAAAAUGUCUUAUCCUCUCAAAAGACAAUGAGAGAGAUUCCAAAAGAACUUCAUUGUCAAAUGCUCUCUCAAAAUAAAUCCUUGACCAAACACUUGCAAAAUGCAUAAGGAUUCUUACAUGAUCUUCAUUGUAAUAUUCUUCUCUUGAAGAGAGAUUUCUUCUUCCAUUCUUCUUAUUCAAUGAGAUUGGUUAAGAGACUGUGAGUCUCUUGUUGUAAAGGAUUCCUAAACACAAGGGAUGGGUUGUCCCUGUGUGGUUCAGAAUUUGUAAUGGAUUUUACAAAGAUAGUGGAAAUCUCAAGUGGGUUGCUUGAGUACUGGACGUAGGCACGGGAAGUGGCCGAACCAGUAUAAAAUUGUGUUUGCACUCUCUCUUCCCUUAUCUUAUUUAUUUUGUUGCAAUCAAUGGUGUCUUGCAUGUGUUAAAGAACAUUGUUAAAAUGAUUGUUGUUGCUUCUUCUGCAUUCUAAGCCUAUCCCUCUUAAGAUUAUUGAGGCCACAAGGUCCAACAAUAUAUACAUACAUACAUAUAUAUAUAUAUGUAUAUAUAUAUAUAUAUAUAUAUAUAUAUAUAUAUAUAUAUAUAUAUUAACGAUGCACUCUAACCUUUAUAUGAGCGGUGCAUUUAAAUGUUGUUGGAAGUUACGCUUUAUUAAAAGGUAAGAUCAAGCAACAAUAUGUAAAAUAUCUAAAUUCGUUUAAAAUUUAGAAUAUGAUAGCAUCCUGAAUAAAUAAAAUUUCCCAAAUCAUACAUGAAUCAAGUAUGGGUGGCUCUGAUACCAAUUUGUAGGGAUUCAAUCAAUCAACCUAAUUUGAUUCUAACAGUUGAUCAUCAAUCCUAACCACAUGUUUUCUAUCCAUGUAGAGAGGAAUUACUGCAUAAAGAUGAAUGAAACCUCAUCGUGUUCCCAUACUAAAAAUCAUGAUGAAAACUAAAUACAGAAGCGUACCUGGAUUAGUCAUAAUGGGAUGAUGAACGGUUGAUGAGGAUCAAGAUUGGUUUUAUGAUCUUCCAAAUGUAGAGAGCUUCAUGUUCUUCUCUGAAUUUUCUCUAAAAAGAAUUCUAACUGUUUACUUAUCUCUACAAAUAGGGACCAUAACCUCUUGUAUUGGUAAUUUCCAUCCAUUACCCCAAAUUUGAUCAUUAUAAUUUGGCCCCUUAUCAAAUGAUAAUAUCACUAAUGAUAUCUACACAAUUAGCCUUUCAUAACAGAUAUGCCCUUAACCAUAAUUUUAUAUUGAUUAGACCACUAUAAUAUUUUGGCUAAUAAAAUAAUGGUCCUAACUCAUUCAAUUAUGUAAUAUAUAUAUAUAUAUAUAUAUAUAUAUAUAUAUAUAUAUAUAUAUAUAUAUAUAUAUAUAUAUAUAUAUAUGACCUAAAAUUGCUAGCAUUCCUAACAAGCAAUAUAUACACAAUAAACUAGGGCUAUCCAAGAAAAUUAUCAAUCGUACAUCAAGGUUAGGUUGUUUAAUAAUUCAUUUCAAAGCAAGCUUGAACUUGGCACCUUACUAGUCAGAACUGGUCCCUGUAGGUCCUGAGUAAUUUGAGCCAUGUUUGGAUUGGUUUAUUUUGAAGAAAUAAAUUCACUUUUUUUAAUCUUGAAAGAGCCUUAGAAGAAAAAGUUAUUCUUUCCCCAUAAAUAAUCCGAACAAAACAUGCAUUCAAUCUGUUGGCAACAAAAAACAAUUAUUCAUGCAACAAAUCAUAAUACAGGUGCUUACCUUAAUCUCAAAAUGCUCCAUUUUAAUCAACAACGUAUGUUACAGAGAAAGAGAGUUCAACUGAAAGCUCUGUAAAAAGAGGUGGUAAUGUAACUUUGAAGUAUGACAGAUAGAAGUCAGUGUCUUAUUUGCUAACAGCAUGCAUUACCAUCAAAUAAUUUUGGUGAUCUAAUCAAUCAUUAUUGAGGAGUUUCAUACCUUCUCAAUGCAUGCACGCUCCAGUGGGAAGAUAGGUUUGUGUUCUCUAGUCAAAACAAUGGCCUUCAGCUGUGUCUGAACACCAUCUGGGAGAUUUUGGUAUCCAUUAGUUGACCGAGCUAAUACUACCUUGGCAUCUCCUAUAUUUGCAACCACAACCUAACAAAUACUCAUCAAACAAGAAAGGCCAUAACCGGUUAUGACUGACUUGAAAGAAAACUGAAACAAACCAAGAGCUGAAUUCAUCAACAAGACUUCAAAGACAACAACAUCAAGGAACUAAGAGAGAGAUAUUCUUGCAGGCAGGGACACCACAAUGAAAGAUGGAAAAUGAGAAAACAAUGGCAUAAGGAUCUCAUCUGGUGGACUACAAAACUCGAAUUAAUUACAACACCAUUUAUCUCUUUGCCUUGGACAUACGGCCUCCUGACAGAAAGACCCAUACUUUUCGGGCAGACAAUAAUUACACUAAAGUGCUUGGGAAAAUCAAGUCCCAUUGACUGUAAAUGCCCAAGAAGAAAACCAUGGGACAACCCUGGUAUUCUAUUUGGUUUCAUGUAGGAACAUAUUUUUUCAUAAUUAUCAGCCUGCAUGAUUAAAAAAAUUAAUAAAUUUUAAUUUCAGUCUUUAAAAAAAUUGUUGGGGCUAGUUCCCUCAACAUGGCAAACCACAAUUACAAUCUGAAAAGUGUCUGACAAAACAAUGAACAGAAUUGCCUAAAAAGAACAUACCAGCAUGGGAAAAAGAUUUUUGAUUUUAAUUUUCACAUAUUUAAUUUCUUAAAAAAAAAAAUUUUGAUCCUCAUUUAAUUAUGAAUGGAGUCACAUGCAUCUAAAGAAGCAAGAAAUUGAGAACAUCAUCGUGUCCAGCUAGGUUAAUCUUCUCCUUCUUGAAAACAGAGGUUUCAAAGUCGAGUGAGGCCAGCGGAGUGAAUAAGGUAUAUUGUGAGUGUGCACAGUACAUACAACAUCUCUAUAUGCUAGUGCUCGUAUGAAUUGGAAUUAUUGAAUCCUAAUUAUAGGAUACAUAUUCCUUACUCAGUUCGUAAGAUUGUUCCUUAUUGAUUGUACCAUAUAUACAUGAUAGGCUACCACAUAUAUCUAACAUACAUCACAAAUAUCCAUGCACAUGGAAUGUCUAAAGCACAUUCUUAUAAAUGGCAUUACCUUGUGAAAUAUGUUAGUCACAUUCUUUACAAACAUCUCUUCUCUCUCUCUCUCUUCUCUCUCUCUUCUCUCUCUUGGCGCUUUAUAAGAGAUUUUAGCAAGGUAGCCCUUCCACUAUCCAACUUGUUGCAAAAGGAGGUGGAGUUUGACUUUAAUGAUAAAUGCAAAGAGGCUUUUGAUUGCCUCAAAAGAGCACUGACUACCACCCCCAUCAUCCAGGCACCCGACUGGAUAGCCCUUUUUGAGCUUAUGUGUGAUGCAUCAAAUUAUGCAUUGGGGGCUGUCCUUGCUCAAAAAAUUGAUAAAUUGCCUAGGGUGAUAUAUUAUGCUUCUAGAAUUUUAGAUGUUGCCCAAGCGAAUUAUACUACUAUUGAGAAAGAGCUACUAGCCAUAGUUUUUGCUCUUGAAAACUUUCGUUCUUAUUUGCUUGGUACUCGCAUUAUUGUUUAUACUGACCAUGCAGCUUUAAAGUACUUGUUGUAGAAGGCUGAUUCAAAGCCUAGGUUGAUCUGAUGGAUGCUUUGGCUCCAAGAAUUUGAGUUGGAGAUCCGUGAUAGAAGCAGAGCACAAAAUUUAGUUGCUGAUCAUUUCAGUCAGAUCGAACAUGUGUCUGAUGAGGACUCACCUAUUCGGGAUGAUUUCCCGGAUGAUCAUUUAUAUAUAUUGUAUAGUAUUUCUGAUUCUCUUUCUACUCCCUGGUUUUCUAACAUUGUCAAUUAUUUAGUUGCUUCUGUUUUUUCUCCCUUAGCAUCUAAGGCUCAAAAAGAUAAACUUAAAAGUGAUGCUAAACAUUUUAUUUGGGAUGACCCCUACUUGUGGAAAUUGUGAAGUGAUUAGGUCAUUAGACGAUGCAUUCUAGAUCAUGAGACUGACUCAGUCCUGUAGUUCUGUCAUUCUUCCGCACUGGGAGGUCAUCUGGGUGUUCAAAGGACAGCUCGUAAAGUGCUUGACUAUGGCUUUUAUUGGCCCACCAUCUUUAAAGAUGCGUGGAAGAUUUGUAGCACUUGUGAGCAGUGUCAAAGAGCAGGAAGUGCACUUACAUGGAGACAACAAAUGCCUCAGCAACCUAUGCUAUUCUGUGAGGUGUUUGAUGUUUGGGGCAUAGAUUUCAUGGGCCCUUUUCCUGUCUCUUUUGGUUAUGUUUACAUUCUCCUUGCAGUUGAUUAUGUUUCAAAAUGGGUGGAAGCCAAGCCCACUAGAACUAAUGAUGCUAAGGUUGUUGCAGAUUUUGUCAGAUCUAAUCUGUUUUGCAGGUUUGGAGUACCUAAAGCAAUCGUUAGUGAUCAAGGAACCCAUUUUUGCAACAAAUCAAUGCAUGCCAUGCUUAAAAAGUACAGGGUUGUACACAGGGUAUCCACACCAUACCGCCCCCAAACCAAUGGACAGGCAUAAAUUUCUAACAUGGAGAUCAAGAGAAUUUUAGAGAAGAUUGUGCAGCCAAGCAGGAAAGAUUGGAGCACCAGGCUUGAUGAUGCUCUUUGGGCACAUAGGACUGCCUACAAAGCACCCAUAGGAAUGUCUCCUUAUCGGGUUGUCUUUGGAAAGGCAUGUCAUCUUCUAGUGGAGAUUGAGCACAAAGCAUAUUGGGCAGUGAAGACCUGCAACUUCUCUAUAGAUCAAGCUGGGGAGGAAAGAAAGUUGCAACUGAGUGAGUUAGAUGAGAUCCGCCUAGAAGUGUAUGAGAAUGCCAAGUUCUACAAAGAAAAGACCAAGAAGUUCCAUGAUAGCAUGAUAAUUAAGAAGGACUUCAUGGUUGGGCAAAAAGUGUUAUUGUAUAAUUCUAAGCUUGGACUCAUGAGUGGUAAGUUGAGGUCUAAGUGGAUUGGUCCUUUUGUUGUUACUAAUGUUUUUCCUUAUGGUACAGUUGAGAUCAAAAGCGACUCCACAAACAAGAGCUUCAAGGUCAAUGGACAUCGACUUAAGCCAUUCCUCACAAACCCUUCUUUAGUGGAUGUAGUGGUGGAAGAGACUUCCUUACUCCACCCUACUCUUCCUCCACCAUGACUUAGGGAGUUUUUCUUUUCCUAUCUCCUUCUUUACUUUUAUUACAUUUGUCCGAUUCUAUUUGAUGGUUUAAUUGCUUUUAAUCUUUUGAUUGUGCUACAUUGUGGACAAUGUGUUGUUUAAGUAUGGGGGGGGGGGGAAGUGUUCUUUGGUUUUGGUGGAUGUAGUGGUGGAAGAGACUUCCUUACUCCACCCUACUCUUCCUCCACCAUUACUUAGGGAGUUUUUCUUUUCCUAUCUCCAUCUUUACUUUUAUUACAUUUGUCCGAUUCUAUUUGAUGGUUUAAUUGCUUUUAAUCUUUUAAUUGUGCUACAUUGUGGACAAUGUGUUGUUUAAGUAUGGGGGGGGGGGGGGGGGUAUGAUUCAUUGGAAGAUAUGAUUUUUGGCCAUGCUUAAUGUUUUAUUUUGGCCAUGCUUGAUGUAUAUAUAUAUUGCCUAGUUCUUGCCUUAAUCUUCAAAUUCGUACUGUUUAAAAAAAAGUGAAAAAAAGAAUAAAAAAAAAAUUCCAGUUGCUGCGAAUUCUGCAAAUGCGUACUAUUCAAAAAAAAAAAAAAGAAGAAGAAGAAAAGAAGUGAAGUUGAAUAAAUGAGGUCUUGUUAUGAGGACUUGAUUUGGGAGCCUUGGUUGAUUUUGUUGAUAUUAGAGGGUUUGGGUUUACUACUUGUGCUUAAUUUCCACUUAUUCCCCAUUGCUCCCCUAUUCCUUUGGGAUUUAGCUACUUAUUCCAUAUUUUUUUCCCUACCUUGUCCUUGGCCCCAUUAUAACCUUUAAAGACCUUUUGAUCCUCAUGUGCAUGUGUUUGUCAAGUUGUUUGUCAAUUUUAGAAUUUUGCCAAGUCUAUGUGGUGUUUGUUUUCAUGGGUGCUUUGAGAGUAAAUAGUAGCCUAGACACUUCAGAGAUAGUGUAUAUCUUGUGAGGCUUUAUCACUUUUCAUUAUUGAGCUGAUUGACCAUUUUGCCAUGAUUGGGUUGCUUGGAUGAUUUUCACGAAUGUCUUGACUCUUUGGAUCUCUUCAUGUUAGAUGUUACCCAUUCCCUUCAUUCCUUGAUUUUCAUUGAGAAAUAUGUAAAUUUUUUUGUUUGUCUCUCUUUGAUAUCCUUGGAUUUUGUUAUUAAUUUCAUUUUGCCCAGGAGUGCAAAAGGCUAAGUAUGGGGGGUUUUUGAUGUGCCAUUAUUUUCUCCUAUUUCUUAACCCUUUUUGCACCAUUUUAAGUACUGAUUUGUCUUAAUUGUCAAAUUAAUUAGGUAGUUUUAUUAUUUGGACCUAUUCAGCUAAUUUGAUGUUUUUAAUCUAAUUUCAGGAAUUAAUGAAGCAUUGGGCUUGAAUCCAGAAUUGGGCUUGGACUUAAUGAGGGCAGACUAUUUUAUUCUACAAAAUUAGAUCUUAUCUUAUCUUAUCUUAUCUAGAUAUUAUUUAGAUUUGAUCUCAUCUAGAUAUUAUUUCAUCUAGAUCUUAUCUUAUCUUAUCUAGAUUUGGUUUUAUUUUAUUUAUGGGCUUGGAUUUAAAACAGAUUUGUAAGCUUUGGGGUUGGAAAACUAUAUACAGGAUCAAGGUUCUAGUUUAGGCCUUCUCUCUCUUCUCUCUCUCUUAUUUUCGUUUUUAGUUUUAGGCUUUUCUUAGACACUUUUUCAUUUUGCAGUUCCAGUUUUGACUUUUCGUUUUAGUAAUAAAAUUCCGUUCUUCAAUCUAUAAUUUCAUUCUCUAUUGAUUAAUGGAAGGCUAAGUAUUCAGCGUUGCUUUCUCUUAAGGAUCAAGCAUAGUUCUCUUUGAGGUUCUAUUAUUACUGUUAAAUUCUGUUUAGUUUUUCCUCUUCACUAAUUACUCUGAAUUCGUUGCUGUUAAUUCAUGCAUGCUUAGUACUUGAUUAAUUGUCUUUGUGCUUAAUUACAUUCAUGCUUAAUGAUCGUUUAUGAUUAAUUGGUGUAUGUGUUGCUUAAUCACAUAAUGAAUGCCUUAGGGUUGGAUUAAGUGGUUGAACUGAUAAAGGAUAAACUCUCAUAACCUAGGAUAAGAGACUUGCUUGUAAAUCAAGGGGAAGCAACGUGUUUUAAUUAUGAUAUUUUAUAAUUCACAUCUAUUUAUUGUUUAAUUUACAAAAGCAAACAACCCCCCCCCCCCAAUUUGUUACUAUUUUCCUAUUAUCUGUUAUGAACAUUUGGUUUAUCAUUGCUCGUUGGGAAACGACCUAGGAUCACUUCCUAGUUAUUACAUUUUAAUGUUUAUUUGAUUCAGGUACGGCCUCGAUCAACGUCAUCAAACUUUCCUGAUGUAUCAAGCUGCAUACUACUCAUUCAAAUUUCAAAACUGUUAAAAAUUGACCUGUCUUAAUUUAUUUAUACCACAUGGAUCUUAUUACCCAAGCAUCUAUCAAUUCAAAAUUCUGUAAAACAUGAAAAAAGAACUAUAAACAAGAAACAAUGAUUUUAUGAUCCAAGGAAUAAAGAUAGAUCAGGUGUGAUGAAGAAAAAUUCCAUCAUGAGUGAUUCUUGACUAACAAAACUUUAACCCAAAAAUAGGAAAUAACAGACCAUAGAUAGCAAUUUCAAUUGUUUAUAGCAUGCCUCUGCAUCCAUCUAUUAGAAGAAGAUUAACAUAUUUGGUAAAGAACUAUAGCUUAACCUAGCAACCAGAGCAUGAGCUUCCAUGAGAUUAACCCUAGCCACAUAUUUCGUGGCAACAUGCUUGAUGCAACCUACCCUGCAAGGGCAUUGGAUAGAAGACUCCAAGCAGAUUGGGCCAGAGAUGCAAGAGAAGGCCCUAGGAUUCUCAUGAGCCUUAGGGUAGAUUUCGGGCCCAUGGGCUAAGUAUAAGCCCGCUUAUCUUUGUACAUAUUAGAUUAAUAUUUCAUUAUUUUUUGGCCUUGUAUUUAGGGCUCCAUAAUAUAGGUAAGGUACCCUAGAAAUGUAGGAUUUUCAGCCCUUGUAUUUUAGGGCACCUAGACUAGUUUUUGUAUUAGGGGUAGUUUUGUAAUUUCACAUGCAUUAAGUGAAUAUUUGAUGUGUGUGUUGGAAAAUAAAUUUAAUUGAAUUGGUAGAAGUCCAAUCCAAUUAAAUUUUAGAGGGGGAGGUGAGUAUUUGUUUGCUACACCCUAUUGCUACAUCAUAUAGUCACACUUUGUGCAUGUCCUUCAUGCUUUACAUGCCUUAUGACACCUAAGCACACUUAGUGGAGAAUCUUGGACUUGAUCUUGGAUUAGUGGGCUGAACCAUAACUAAAAUUCACUAAUCAUAAUUAGUGAAAUUUUGGCUCCAAAAUUUGGCUCCACAAAUUCAAUUUCAAAUCCAAGUGAAAUUUGAAUAGAAAUUCAAAUUUUCCUCCAAUUUUAUGUGACACUUAGGCUAUAAAUAGAGGUCAUGUGUGUGCAUUUUUUUCAACUUUGAUCAUUUGAAAAUUAAACUUCAGAUUUCAGAGCUCUUUUAGAGCACAAAAUUUCGUGCUCUUCUCUUCCUCUCCCUUCAUUCAUCUCCUUCUUCCUCCAAGCUCUUAUCCAUGGCCUCCUAUGGUGGUGAGCUUCUUCUCGACUCAUCUUCUCCUUGAAGUGGCGUCUCCUCUCUCUCUUUCUUCUCCAUUCCGCUAUCAUUCAUCAUCCAAGAAGCAAAGGAAUCCAUUGAUGAAGAAGAUCCAAGGCAAACAAGCUCCAUAGGAGCUACAUCAAUGCUUUACAAUACAAAUCAAACUUCAUAUAACAAUGUUACUUGACAAAGUCUAUCUACCACAGGAUAAUUGAAAAAUCAAUUUUCAGCUCUAGAAUGUAUUUCAGUUGCAGAUGCUAUGCCAUUAUUACAGCCUCAAGACAAAAUUCUGUAGUGGCAACUGGCAGCUCUAACUGAUUCUUGCAGAACAAGAUUUGGAGUCUGGAAAUAGAAAUAAAACAAUGCUAAAAUCAGGUAAUCAUUCAACACUUUUUGACAGGCUUGUACCUCUUUCAUUAAGGAACUCAUCAUUUCCAAAAAAAUAAAUGGUAAAGCCCAAAGUUUCUUAACUGGCGUUGCUUACAAGAGACAAACCCAAUACAACUUUCAUCGGCACCACAGUGGGAUAAGUGUUCCUAGUGUAGGAAUUAACCAAAUUUUCUAAGACCACACGACCAUCCCCAACUAUGAUGCACUUUGUCGUAACCUACCCUUCGGCGGGAGGGUGACCCGUGACUUGUGGGUGCGUCUUCCAAGAAAGGAAUACGCUAGGAGUCGCCACCAACGUUUAUUUGAGGAAAACAUCGGAAAAACCAGAAAAGACAUGAUCUACGAACUUUAAGUGAAAGGUUCGGGAGUUGUAUUUAUGCACGGGGAAGGUAUUAGCACCCCACGCGUCCGUCAUAAGAGACGGCAACCUUUAAUUAAAUGUGCAAACAUGACUUCAAUUUUAUGUUCCCUUUUACGUCUUUAUUUCUUUUUAUAUCUUUUUGCGGUCGACGAGGGUGUUUCCCUUGCUCCUACGUAUUUCUUAAUUGCGGUAAGGAAAUCAGACCUACGUAGUUCUUUGUGAACAAAGUGUUUGGUUAAGUUGUUUUUAUCCUUUUUGCAAAAUAUGUUUUUAUUGAAUGAAAGGUCAUUUAAGGCGUUGAACCAUUAAACAAUCUUUCGAUUCUUUUGAAAAGAGAGAAGACAUUAAGGCAUUGGACCAUUAAUGAUCUCUUUAUUUUUGAAAGAGGUAAUAAAGUUACAUGUUGAUUUUAGGCCUUUAGAAAUCUACACUUAACCAAUAAAAGCGGAAAAGACCACUUCAAGGCGUUGGGACCUUUGAAAAUGGCUUUUUUAGGCGAUGACAAAAGUUUGGUUUAUGAAUUGAUUUUAGCCUUUGUUUCACUUUGGUUAUUAGUCAAUUUGAUUAAGAAAGAAAAAUCCCAAAGAGAAACGUCCGAUUGAUUUUUUUGAUUUAUUUUACUAAAAGAUAUUUUUUAUUAUUAUAUUAUUAUUUUACCUCUUUUUGGUUUCCAACGUGGUUAAGGCAUGACCGAACGGUCGGAUUUCAUUUUAACAGAAAUUAACGGAUAUUACAAAUCAAAUGAUCGAUGGAAAUUUAUUUUAUUUUUGAUUAGGGGAGAAAAUUGUUAGUGUUUAGCUCUACUGAGCUUUAAAAGAUUGGCUAAGAUUUUGUUAAAACAUAAGCACUUAGACAAUGAAGGAAAGCUGGAGUUGCUGCACAUGAUGUCCAACGUUAUGUCAAGGAAUAAGAUCGGGCUGCACAAUGCACAAGGCAAGAUAAAAUGUCAAAUGAAGAAUUGAAGUUGCAGGAUCCACGAUGUCGGAUACAAUGUCCUGACAUCCUGCUCGAGAAUACUGGAGUUGCUGUGCAAUGCAAGAUAAAAGUCAAGUGCAGAAGUAAAGCUGCAGGAUCCACGAUGUCGGACACGAUGUCCUGACAUCCGGCCCGAUAAUACUGGACACAUAAAUCUGUUAUAUCUUUAACAGAUUAUUGUGCAGUUAGCAAGAGAUAAGAAGAUCUAUCUUUAGGAACGAAUUAAAAGAUCAUUAAAGUUCGAAUUUCAAAGUAGAAGAGUUCGUUCAGGGAUUAAAGAUUAAAGAUUAAAGAUUCAAACUAAAAGAUCAAAAGUUAUCUUUUAGUUCUUUAACUGCAGAUUUUUCAGAAGAAGAUAGAUCUCCUCCAGCAUCAAGGAGUUGCAGCCCAGAAUCGUACACGGCUAUAUAAUCAUGGAGGCUGCACGAGUUCUGUACCAAGUCCGGGAUUGAAGAGUUAGUUUGUGAGUUUUUGGGACUUGAGUCUUUUGUGAGCCACCUUGAUGGUACCCUAGCAUCAAGUGUUGGACCUAUGUGUGUAGAGUUGAUCUCUUGUGUGUAGAGUUGAUCUCUUGUGUCUAGAGUUGAUCUCUAGUGUGUAGAGUUGAUCUCUUUUGUUCAGAGUUGAUCUCUGGUGUGUCUUUGACUUAAUUGUAAACACAGGAGUGUGAGUGAGAGGGAGUGAGCGGAGGUUCUCAUAUCUAAGAUUGGGUCUUAGGUAGAGAUCGCACGGGUAGUGGUUAGGUGAGAAGGUUGUAAACAGGGGCUGUUAGACCUUGAACUAACACUAUUGAGAGUGGAUUUCCUCCCUGGCUUGGUAGCCCCCAGAUGUAGGUGAGGUAGCACCGAACUGGGUAAACAAUUCUCUUGUGUUAUUUACUUGUUUAAUCUGUUCAUACGGACACAUAUAAUCUGCAUGUUCUGAAGCGUGAUGUCGUGACAUCCUGUACGACAUCUGUCCCCUGGUAUCAGAAUUUCAAUUGGUAUCAGAGCCAACACUCGAAAUCACAGAGUGAGAUCUAGGGAGAUAAAUUCUGAUGAACAUGGAGAAAGAAGGCGGACCAGUGAACAGACCACCAAUUCUCGAUGGAAGCAACUAUGAAUAUUGGAAAGCAAGAAUGGUGGCCUUCCUCAAAUCACUGGAUAGCAGAACCUGGAAAGCUGUCAUCAAAGGCUGGGAACAUCCCAAGAUGCUGGACACAGAAGGAAAGCCCACUGAAGAAUUGAAGCCAGAAGAAGACUGGACUAAAGAAGAAGACGAAUUGGCACUUGGAAACUCCAAAGCUUUGAAUGCUCUAUUCAAUGGAGUUGACAAGAAUAUCUUCAGACUGACCAACACUUGC